UACAGAGGUCUCAAGCGUUGUUCGGAAUCACUGGGCGUAAAGGGUGCGUAGGCGGCACGGUAAGUCAGAGGUGAAAUCCCGGAGCUCAACUUCGGAAUUGCCUCCGAUACUGCCGUGCUUGAGGACUGGAGAGGAGAUUGGAAUUCACAGUGGAGCAGUGAAAUGCGUAGAUAUCGUAAGGAAGACCAGUGGCGAAGGCGAAUCUCUGGACAGUUACUGACACUGAGGCACGAAGGCCAGGGGAGCAAACGGG
rnacentral:rRNA from 1 species